rnacentral:rRNA from 1 species
CGAACGCUGGCGGCGUGCUUAACACAUGCAAGUCGAACGGAAAGGCCCUGCUUUUGUGGGGUGCUCGAGUGGCGAACGGGUGAGUAACACGUGAGUAACCUGCCCUUGACUUUGGGAUAACUUCAGGAAACUGGGGCUAAUACCGGAUAGGAGCUCCAGCUGCAUGGUGGGGGUUGGAAAGUUUCGGCGGUUGGGGAUGGACUCGCGGCUUAUCAGCUUGUUGGUGGGGUAGUGGCUUACCAAGGCUUUGACGGGUAGCCGGCCUGAGAGGGUGACCGGCCACAUUGGGACUGAGAUACGGCCCAGACUCCUACGGGAGGCAGCAGUGGGGAAUAUUGCACAAUGGGCGGAAGCCUGAUGCAGCAACGCCGCGUGCGGGAUGACGGCCUUCGGGUUGUAAACCGCUUUCGCCUGUGACGAAGCGUGAGUGACGGUAAUGGGUAAAGAAGCACCGGCUAACUACGUG